UUCUGUGUUAAAAAAAAUAUCUCUUGUUGCAGUAUAACUUACACUUUUCUUAGAAAAAUCUGCAAUCUGUGCUUUUAGUCCCAACAUUUGUUCCAGUAGCUUCGUCAAUUUCUAUACCCUGUAAAACUUCUGCUCCAGCCUUGUUACAUUUCAUCUCUAUUUCUUUUAACUUUGCUGAUAGCAUCCUGUGUUGAAACUAGUUGUUCUGUUCUGCUCAUCUGUCUGUUGAGCAAGUCACUGACAUGCUAUAGAUUCCUCCCACAGUUAGUCAUACUCAGUGCCUAUACCGUCUUUUCCUUGCUUUAUCUGUGCAAUUCUAGGAACUGAUAAUUUCUGUUGAGACAACAGGUACCUGCAAUACUGAGAAGCAAACCCAGGAAAAAGAGAAGGAGCAGCAGAACACAAUCUUUGGAACUUCCUAAACCCGGUUUAUACCGGCGGUACUAAAUAAAGAUUGCAUGAUUGGAGAAACCAAAAGAGAAGAGAAUUGGUGACAACGGAAGAGAGACAACAAAGCUCCCGCUAAGAAGGCAGUGAAGAAUAUCUUCUGUACCUCAUCUGCGAGUGAAGAAUAUCGUUUGCACGACUCAAAGAUAGAAGUAGGUUUGAGAUUUUAGCUCUGAAGAAGAUAUGGGCCUAGAAGAAGACCUUCCAAGAGAUAAAACCCAAGAUUCAAGACCCAAACCCGCUACCAUGUCUUGAACCGUUAGAUUCGAUACUGAUGCUCAUCAUCCGAGGCAUCUCCACAACUGUGCAUCAAUAUUUGAUACUCCUGUCUCACACCCGAGCAUGUUCUGUCCUUCCCUUAUUCGAGCAACAACCAAACACCCCCUUCUCUUCGUACUCAUUUUCUCUACCGUCUGCAAAUACCAUCACUUCACCUACACCUCUCAGUUCGCUUCCCCCCAUCAAUCAAUUUUUGCCCGACCAAUUCUGAUCUCAGCAACCUUCUAGCCGCCAUCAAUCAACCUCCUAGUCUCCAUCUAUCUCUAUCUUAGCUUCUUCUCCAAAACAGUAACCCUAGAAGCUAGGAUUGAGAGAGAUGAAUCUAGGGUUAUCUUCAAAAGAAAACAUCAAAUCAAAGAGCUGGAAAGUCGAAUUGCGAAGGGGUUUAUCGGGAAAACGCGUUUUGAGUGAGUGGUUGUCUUCUAAUUAUCAAAUUCUAGUGUUUGAGAAGAGAAUUGGGUAUAAAUAGGGUUCUCUGUGAAUUAUGUAAACAUCCAAUUCUAGAUGGAUCAACUAGUUUUCAUAAUAUAUUUGUGUUUUAAU